UGGGGAAUUUUGGACAAUGGGCGAAAGCCUGAUCCAGCAAUGCCGCGUGUGUGAAGAAGGCCUUCGGGUUGUAAAGCACUUUUGUCCGGAAAGAAAUCCUUGGCUCUAAUACAGUCGGGGGAUGACGGUACCGGAAGAAUAAGCACCGGCUAACUACGUGCCAGCAGCCGCGGUAAUACGUAGGGUGCAAGCGUUAAUCGGAAUUACUGGGCGUAAAGCGUGCGCAGGCGGUUUGCUAAGACCGAUGUGAAAUCCCCGGGCUCAACCUGGGAACUGCAUUGGUGACUGGCAGGCUAGAGUAUGGCAGAGGGGGGUAGAAUUCCACGUNUAGCAGUGAAAUGCGUAGAGAUGUGGAGGAAUACCGAUGGCGAAGGCAGCCCCCUGGGCAAUACUGACGCUCAUGCACGAAAGCGUGGGGAGCAAACAGGAUUAGAUACCCUGGUAGUCCACGCCCUAAACGAUGUCAACUAGUUGUUGGGGAUCAUUUCCUUAGUAACGUAGCUAACGCGUGAAGUUGACCGCCUGGGGAGUACGGUCGCAAGAUUAAAACUUAAAUGAAUUGACGGGGUCAUAGCUGUUUCCU
rnacentral:rRNA from 1 species